rnacentral:rRNA from 1 species
AUUGAACGCUGGCGGCAUGCCUUACACAUGCAAGUCGAACGGUAGGGGGAGCAAUCCCCUGAGAGUGGCGAACGGGUGAGUAAAGCAUCGGAACGUGCCCAGUUGUGGGGGAUAACUACUCGAAAGAGUGGCUAAUACCGCAUACGACCUGAGGGUGAAAGCGGGGGACCGAAAGGCCUCGCGCAGUUGGAGCGGCCGAUGUCAGAUUAGCUAGUUGGGGGGGUAAAGGCCCACCAAGGCGACGAUCUGUAGCUGGUCUGAGAGGACGACCAGCCACACCGGGACUGAGACACGGCCCAGACUCCGACGGGAGGCAGCAGUGGGGAAUUUUGGACAAUGGGCGCAAGCCUGAUCCAGCCAUGCCGCGUGCAGGAAGAAGGCCUUCGGGUUGUAAACUGCUUUUGUACGGAACGAAACGGUCCUGGUUAAUACCCGGGGCUAAUGACGGUACCGUAAGAAUAAGCACCGGCUAACUACGUGCCAGCAGCCGCGGUAAAAC